rnacentral:tRNA from 1 species
UGGCUCAGUGGUUAAGAGCACUGACUGUUCUUACAGAGGUCCUGAGUUCAAAUCUCAG